GAUCAAGCUACAAAGGGCGCACGGUGAAUGCCCUGGCACUAGGAGCCGAUGAAGGACGUGAUAAGCUGCGAUAAGCUACAUGUAGGCGCACACAGCCUGUGAUAUGUAGAUUUCCGAAUGGGGAAACCCAUCUAGUUAUGCUAGAUACUGUAUACCGAAUACAUAGGUAUAUGGAGGUACACCUGGGGAACUGAAACAUCUAAGUACCCAGAGGAAGAGAAAGAAAAUUCGAUUCCCUAAGUAGCGGCGAGCGAAAGGGGAAGAGCCCAAACCAGGAACUUGUUCCUGGGGUUGCGGAUAGAUCAUAACGCUUUGAUUUCUUUAGUUGAAGAGAACUGGAAAGUUCCGUCGUAGAAGGUAAUAACCCUGUAGGCGAAAAGGAAAGAAAAGUAGAUCUACUCCAGAGUACCACGAGACACGUGAAACCUUGUGGGAAGCUGGGAGGACCAUCUCCCAAGGCUAAAUACUACCUAGUGACCGAUAGUGAAGCAGUACCGUGAGGGAAAGGUGAAAAGAACCCCGGAAGGGGAGUGAAAUAGAAUCUGAAACCGUGUGCCUACAAUCGGUCGGAGCACAUUAAAGUGUGACGGCGUACUUUUUGUAGAACGGGCCAGCGAGUUACGAUAUAUAGCAAGGUUAAGCACUUAUGGUGUGGAGCCGAAGGGAAACCGAGUCUGAAUAGGGCAACUAGUUGUAUAUUGUAGACCCGAAACCGAGUGACCUAUCCAUGGCCAGGAUGAAGCGGAAGUAAAAUUCCGUGGAGGUCCGAACCACGUUGGUGUUGAAAAACCAUGGGAUGAGCUGUGGAUAGCGGAGAAAUUCCAAUCGAACUCGGAGAUAGCUGGUUCUCCUCGAAAUAGCUUUAGGGCUAGCGUCGGGUAAUUGAGUAGUGGAGGUAGAGCACUGAAUGGGCUAGGGGCUGACAACAGUUACUGAACCCUAUCAAACUCCGAAUGCCAUAUACUUGUACCCCGGCAGUCAGACUACGAAUGAUAAGAUCCGUGGUCAAAAGGGAAACAGCCCAGACCAUCAGCUAAGGUCCCAAAGUGUAAGUUAAGUGGGAAAGGAUGUGGGAUUUCUAAGACAACUAGGAUGUUGGCUUAGAAGCAGCCACUCAUUUAAAGAGUGCGUAAUAGCUCACUAGUCGAGAGAUCCUGCGCCGAAGAUGUAACGGGGCUCAAACUUACCACCGAAGCUAUGGAUGUGUACUUUGUACACGUGGUAGAGGAGCUUUCUGUACAGGUUGAAGUCAUACCGUAAGGAGUGGUGGACAGUACAGAAGUGAGAAUGCUGGCAUAAGUAGCGAAAAACAAGUGAGAAUCUUGUUGACCGAAUAUCUAAGGUUUCCUGGGGAAGGCUCGUCCUCCCAGGGUUAGUCGGGACCUAAGCCGAGGCCGAAAGGCGUAGGUGAUGGACAACUGGUUGAUAUUCCAGUACCACCAUAAUGCGUUUGACAAAUGGGAUGACGCAGGAGGAUAGGAUGUGCGCACUAUUGGAUGUGCGUCUAAGCACUUAGGGUGUUAAGUAGGCAAAUCCGCUUAACAUUAAGCCUGAGGUGUGAUGGGGAGCCUAUUUUGGCGAAGUAUCUGAUUCCACGCUGCCAAGAAAAGUCUCUAUGGAGCAAAAUGGUGCCCGUACCGCAAACCGACACAGGUAGAUGAGGAGAGAAUCCUAAGGUCGUCGGAAGAAUUAUUGCUAAGGAACUCGGCAAAUUGACCCCGUAACUUAGGGAGAAGGGGUGCCUACGAGAGUAGGCCGCAGUGAAUAGGCUCAAGCAACUGUUUAUCAAAAACACAGGUCUCUGCUAAAGCG
rnacentral:rRNA from 1 species